AACAAAACUUAAGUGGAAAAUGUCAAGAUUUAAAUGAGUUGAUCAAAAAAUUGCUCUCUAAUUUGGACUCUAUUACAAUUGAUAAAGGUUGUGAGUUAUUUAAGUGUAGUCUGAAUAAGGAUGGUCCAAUAUACGUCCUUCCUCAAGAUGUAUGCGAGUUUGUGAGAAUGAGCACAUUCAAUAUAUCCAUCUUACGAAUCCACGCAAUGUACAUUCACCAGUUAGCCAAGAACUUGAAUGUGCCGUUCGGAAUUAUGUGUCGAUCUGAACUAGCAUCGGCGCGUGAGCGUCCAGCCCAGACAAGUACUUAUAUUACUAACUUUAUGCUUGAAUCUAAUCGAAGCCGUUUAUCCUAGCGCCAUAUAUUCAAAAUGGUCAUUGGAUGCUAAUUCUUAUUUGUUUGCGGGACAAUAUUGUUUACGUGUUUGAUUCCUUAAACGACACAAGGAACUUAGACCUCCAACUAGUUUUGAGCAUUGCAUAUAGAGCAUACAUAGUUCAACGCGUGCGCACAGGUGGUAAUAAAAGUAAGCUCCAUUGGUGUGAUGUUGAGUGUCCCCAACAAGGAGAAAUAACAAAGUGUGGUUACUAUUUUAUGAGAUUCAUGUAUGAUAUAGUUAUGGAAUAUCAUAAAAAUCCAGAGAUUAAAUGGAAAGAGGUA